CUUAACCUGGGAACUGCAUUUGAUACUGGCAGGCUAGAGUAUGAUAGAGGGGGGUAGAAUUCCUGGUGUAGCGGUGAAAUGCGUAGAUAUCAGGAGGAAUACCAGUGGCGAAGGCGACCCCCUGGAUCAAUACUGACGCUGAGGUACGAAAGCGUGGGUAGCGAACAGGAUUAGAUACCCUGGUAGUCCACGCCGUAAACGAUGUCAACUAGCCGUUGGGCUCUUGAGAGUUCAGUGGUGCAGCUAACGCGUGAAGUUGACCGCCUGGGGAGUACGGCCGCAAGGCUAAAACUCAAAUGAAUUGACGGGGGCCCGCACAAGCGGUGGAGCAUGUGGUUUAAUUCGAUGCAACGCGAAGAACCUUACCUGCCCUUGACAUCCUCGGAACUUGUCAGAGAUGACUUGGUGCCUUCGGGAACCG
rnacentral:rRNA from 1 species